AGGCUCCAAAAGCUUGUUACUUGCUUGUAGUCAAACAGAAGGCAGAGCUGCGAAUCAAAUCCAGGUUUGUCUCGACAUGCCACUAGCUCAUACUUCCCUUGGAUCAGCCACUAAAUGGCUUUCACUCCAGUGAGCAGCGACCAGCACCAGAAUUAUGGAACAUUUAUCAACAGCCUAAAAUAAAGACAACACGAGGAGAAUUUGGUUGCUUAUAUAGAUUCAAGGUACAAUCCUGCUGGAUUCUGGGAUUACAGGACUGUAGACAAAAGAGAAAUCAUCAUGGACUGUUCACUGGACAAAAUUUCAUGGAGAGGAGAAGACCUUUGGCGGUUCAUGGAUGUUCUAUAAUAAAAGAAAUAUCACAGUGUGCAUGCACAGAAGUACGACCAUGUGAAGAGGUAGCAAGAGAGCAGCAAUCUACAAGCCAAGGAAAGAGGCCACAGAGGAAACCAACCCUGCCAGCAUCUUGAUCUUGGACUUCCAGCUUCCAGAACUAACCAGGGACCCCACUCCCAUGCCGACAGUAUGGGCUGCUGUCUUCAGGACCAUUGCAAGUGUCCUUCACGGUUCGGUUCACAUUUCACAAGCCCCAUGAAGUCUAUCUGGAUUUUCGAUGGAUGUCUUGCCUUUUCCUCUACACACUACAGGAAGAGUGGCCACCCCUGCCAAGGGCCUAGUAUAGUACCCUAUACAUGUAGCUGAUCAGUUGAUUGUUACUGAUCAUAUGUAUCCUGCAUCAUGUUAUAAAAAAUUAACACAGUGCUUGGCACAUACUUGUACUGAAUGUCAGAGCUGCAGCAUGAUCUGGAGGCUUUCCUCGCUUUCUUCUGCUUCCCCUCCCUUGAUCCUUCACAGGCAUUUUCCUCAAUACAUCUCUUGCCUGGCUAA
rnacentral:lncRNA from 10 species